UUAGCUCUCCACGGAGCCAACAUCCCUUACGGUUUUGACUAGCGGUCUGAAAGCGAAGUUACCUCGCCCGGAAAAUAAAUCACGUCAAGAGAAGCAAUAAAAAGCCCACGCUCAAUUUGCUUCACCUCUUUCUCCCCAAAGAGCUUCUCGUCUACCUACUUCGGGGGGACCACAACCUCGCACGUGCCUCUGCAGGGCGCCAGCAACCCAGCCUCUCCGCACGCAUCACCUGAGCGCAAGUCAACGAGCCGAACACCGCCGUGCCAGGAAAAACGAGAUUUAUCACAACGCCUAACCAGAUGCUGACACAUCUGGGUCACGACCGCAUCACGCACGGGGAAGGUUUACAGAAAGUGCACAGUUCCCGAAGUCGUACCGAAUUUCACAAAGGGAACUGCUGAAACAUAAAGGGUUCGUGGCGAGUAACAGCCCGGCGGGCGCACACAUAUGGUUUUCCUUUCUGCCGCCUGGCGCAGACGCACGGCACGGCGCACAAACCCAGACCUCGGCUGCGGCGACAGCCCGGGGAAGCGGGGCCGAACCGGGGACUGCUGGAGGAGGCUCGGGAGCCACAGAGCUGCCCCCAUGCACGGGGGCUUCCUCCUGCGGGCGGUGACCGGGGACCUUCGGCUCUCUUGCAAAAAAUGGGUGGCGGCAGAUGAAAGGCGCGCGUGCAAUCGCGGAUUUCUGCGCUCCGUUACAGAUGUGCAGAGCCGGAGUAACUCCAGGACAUGAGCCAGCAUUUGGGUAAGCUUCGAAUGCACUUGCACAGCUACCUCCUAACGAGAGGAGCUGCCUGAGCUCCAGGCUGCAGGAGCCAGAUGCAGGCAAAGCUGCCCUGGCCAUCGCAAGGGUUAGGGCCUGAACGAGCUCUGUUCAUGGAGAGCAGAGCUUCUAGUAACUCGGAUGCAGCGCUUCCAAAGGGUAUUCUCAUUGUAAGUCUAAUAAGCCCCUUUGCAUUUUAAAAGAAUCCCCUUUGCAAGCUUCAAACGCGGAAAUAAUCAAAGCAUGCAUAAAAAAAAAAAAAAAAAGUUAUUUUGCACUUGGCAGCGCUGAGCUUGGACCCAUCCCCGUCAGGAGCGGGACCAGAGGAGCCUGGCAGCCGCAGAAAGGGCUGAGGCUGGUUCUCCAGGAACAAAAGCAGCUCACACAGCCCAGGUUCGCCACGUGAGAGCCUAAUUAGAGACUGAAGCCCACACAGCAAACAGACAGACUACAGAGGAAAUUGGAGUCUAAUUUACAUGGAGAACUAUUACUUACUGCAGCCAAUUAGUGUCAAGCUGACUGACAGACUACCCAAAACAGGCUUUCCCCGCCCUGCCUUGUACUGCAAGCCUGAGCUUUCCUUGCCACUUUAUUUUCAGGAGGUGAGGGGCAGCACCUUGCCAUCAGACACGAGCAUCCCCCCAGCAAACAGCGUUGGAGCUGCCUGGGAGCCACCCAGCACAAGCCUCAGCUGAGCCAGCAGCAGAGAACAGAGCAGCAUGCUCUCUUUCCUGGUCUUAAAUCCUUAAAUCACAUCCCAAGGGUCCCGACAAGAAAUUCGUCAUUUUGGGGCAGUGUUUCCCUUUUCGUAUCCUGCCUGCCUGCAUCUGGAGCUUUCAGUCCCUGCUGUGCAAUCACGCAGGGGACCCGGAGGAGGUAAAAAGACACCCUGUCUCCAGCAACGGGACUUCUUCCAGCUGCUUGCACGGGAGCAGGCGCAUAUCCUCAGCUGAUACGCUGCCCUGGAAGAGGAGGACUUCAUGUUUACCAAUGUACAAACUGCUUGCUCGUACUACAGAAAAGCUGCCCUUCCUCUGCACUGAACUAGUCCAAAAACUGGUAAACAGACUUAAAAAAAUAAACUGAAGUAUACACAUAGAA